GCAAGUCGAACGAUGAACCACUUCGGUGGGGAUUAGUGGCGAACGGGUGAGUAACACGUGGGCAAUCUGCCCUGCACUCUGGGACAAGCCCUGGAAACGGGGUCUAAUACCGGAUACUGAUCUGCUUGGGCAUCCAAGUGGUUCGAAAGCUCCGGCGGUGCAGGAUGAGCCCGCGGCCUAUCAGCUUGUUGGUGAGGUAGUGGCUCACCAAGGCGACGACGGGUAGCCGGCCUGAGAGGGCGACCGGCCACACUGGGACUGAGACACGGCCCAGACUCCUACGGGAGGCAGCAGUGGGGAAUAUUGCACAAUGGGCGAAAGCCUGAUGCAGCGACGCCGCGUGAGGGAUGACGGCCUUCGGGUUGUAAACCUCUUUCAGCAGGGAAGAAGCGAAAGUGACGGUACCUGCAGAAGAAGCGCCGGCUAACUACGUGCCAGCAGCCGCGGUAAUACGUAGGGCGCAAGCGUUGUCCGGAAUUAUUGGGCGUAAAGAGCUCGUAGGCGGCUUGUCACGUCGGUUGUGAAAGCCCGGGGCUUAACCCCGGGUCUGCAGUCGAUACGGGCAGGCUAGAGUUCGGUAGGGGAGAUCGGAAUUCCUGGUGUAGCGGUGAAAUGCGCAGAUAUCAGGAGGAACACCGGUGGCGAAGGCGGAUCUCUGGGCCGAUACUGACGCUGAGGAGCG
rnacentral:rRNA from 1 species